rnacentral:rRNA from 1 species
GUGCCAGCCGCCGCGGUAAUACGUAGGGUGCGAGCGUUGUCCGGAAUUAUUGGGCGUAAAGGGCUCGUAGGCGGUCUGUUGCGUCAGGAGUGAAAACUCGGGGCUUAACCCCGAGCCUGCUUCUGAUACGGGCAGACUAGAGGUAUGCAGGGGAGAACGGAAUUCCUGGUGUAGCGGUGAAAUGCGCAGAUAUCAGGAGGAACACCGGUGGCGAAGGCGGUUCUCUGGGCAUUACCUGACGCUGAGGAGCGAAAGUGUGGGGAGCGAACAGGAUUAGAAACCCUAGUAGUCC